rnacentral:lncRNA from 1 species
ACAUAGACCCUCUUCCCUAUAAGUGGCACUACUAGAGACCCUCUUCCCUAUAUAUGCACUACUGAUAAGCCUCUUCCCUAUAUAGUGCACUACUAUAGACCCUCUUCCCAUACAGUGCACUACUAUAAACCCCUUCCCUAUAUAGUGCACUACUAUUAGACCCUUUUCCCGAUAUAGUGCACUACUAGAGACCCUCUUCCCUAAUAGUGGCCGACUACUAUAGACCGAUUCACUAUAGUGCACUACUAUAGACCCUCCUUCCUCAACAGUGCACUACUAUAGACCCUCUUCCCUAUACAGGGGUACUACUAUAGACCUCUUCCCUAUAUAGUGGUAACUACUAUAGACCCUCUUCCCUAUAUAGUGCACUACUAUAGACCCCAUUCCCUAUACAGUCACUACUAUAGACCCUCUCCCCUACAGUAGUGGCUACUAUAGACCCUCUUCCCUAUACAGGGUACUACUAUAGACCCUCUUCCCUAUAUAGUGGUACUUACUACUAGAACCCGCUUCUACCUAUACAGUGCACUACGCUAUAGACCCUCUUUCCCUACAUAGUGGCACUACUAUAGACCCUCUCCCUAUACAGUGGUACUACUAUAACCUCUUCCCCUACAGAUGGUACUACUAUAGACCCUCUCCCUAUAAAGUGCACUACUAUAGACCCUCUUCCCUAUAUAGUGGUACUACUAUAGACCCUAUUCCCUAUAUAGUGCACUACUAUAGACCCUUCCCUAUAAGUCACACUUAACCCUCU